UAGAUUGAAGCCAGUUGUUUAGGGUUUUUAGCUGUUAACUAAAGUUUCGUGGGUUUAAAUCCCAUCAAUCUAG
rnacentral:tRNA from 1 species